rnacentral:rRNA from 1 species
UACGUAGGGACCAAGCGUUGUUCGGAUUUACUGGGCGUAAAGCGCACGUAGGCGGAUCGUUAAGUCGGGGGUGAAAUCCUGGAGCUCAACUCCAGAACUGCCUUCGAUACUGGCGAUCUUGAGUCCGGAAGAGGUGAGUGGAACUCCUAGUGUAGAGGUGGAAUUCGUAGAUAUUAGGAAGAACACCAGUGGCGAAGGCGGCUCACUGGUCCGGUACUGACGCUGAGGUGCGAAAGCGUGGGGAGCAAACAGG